GAUGAACGCUGGCGGCGUGCCUAAUACAUGCCAGUCGAGCGAACAGAUGAGGAGCUUGCUCCUCUGACGUUAGCGGCGGACGGGUGAGUAACACGUGGAUAACCUACCUAUAAGACUGGGAUAACUUCGGGAAACCGGAGCUAUUACCGGAUAAUAUAUUGAACCGCAUGGUUCAAUAGUGAAAGACGGUUUUGCUGUCACUUAUAGAUGGAUCCGCGCCGCAUUAGCUAGUUGGUAAGGUAACGGCUUACCAAGGCAACGAUGCGUAGCCGACCUGAGAGGGUGAUCGGCCACACUGGAACUGAGACACGGUCCAGACUCCUACGGGAGGCAGCAGUAGGGAAUCUUCCGCAAUGGGCGAAAGCCUGACGGAGCAACGCCGCGUGAGUGAUGAAGGUCUUCGGAUCGUAAAACUCUGUUAUUAGGGAAGAACAAAUGUGUAAGUAACUAUGCACGUCUUGACGGUACCUAAUCAGAAAGCCACGGCUAACUACGUG
rnacentral:rRNA from 1 species